rnacentral:rRNA from 1 species
AGCGAACGCUGGCGGUAUGCUUAACACAUGCAAGUCGAGCGCGAAAGUGACUUCGGUCAUAAGUAGAGCGGCGGACGGGUGAGUAACACGUGGAUAAUCUGCCUUUAGGACUGGGAUAACCCUGGGAAACUAGGGCUAAUACCGGAUAAGACCACAGGUUCCAUGGAACCAGGGGUAAAGGCGGCCUUCGGGCUGUCGCCGAAAGAUGAGUCCGCGUCCCAUCAGGUAGUUGGUGAGGAACGGCUCACCAAGCCGAAGACGGGUAGCCGGCCUGAGAGGGCGACCGGCCACACUGGGACUGAGACACGGCCCAGACUCCUACGGGAGGCAGCAGUGGGGAAUCUUGCGCAAUGGGCGAAAGCCUGACGCAGCGACGCCGCGUGAGGGAUGAC